ACAUAUAUAUAUAUAUUUCCAUGGAUAUGUUAUCCAUGUUAUUCUGAAUCCUCACUACCUUGAAUAACUCAACUGGUUAUGUUUUCUUUAUUUACUUGGUAUAGGAAGUGGUAAGCAUUUGAAGAUGUGACAUUUUACAUUUUAAAAUUAGGCAACCAAUAUCAAGCAAAUUUUAUAAGACUUUACCUUUUUAGCACUGAAGAUUUUAUUUUAAAGUUUAUUUAUUUAUUUUUGAGAGAGAGUGCAAGUGGUGGGGAGUGGGGGGAGCAAACAGAGAGAGAGGGAGAAUCCCAAGCAGGCUCUGCACUGUCAGUGAGGAGCCCAAAGCAAGGCUUGAACUCACAAACUGUGAGAUCAUGACCUGAACUGAAAUCAAGAGUCAGAUGCUCAACCGACUGAGCCACCCAGAUGCUCCAGCACUGAAGAUUUUAAAUGUUUCUGCAAGACUCUUCUAAAGAUCUAAAAAUACGAAAAGUAUAGAAAGUUAUUCUACUUUUCAUUUCAGUUGUUUUGCCUUAACGGUCCCUGUUACUUGGGUGUAACAAAGGCUGGGUGUGCCUUUGUGGAUAAAUGAUUUCUGGCACAUGGGACAGAACAGAAAUCUCCCCAUCUUAUGCAGCUGAAAUUGGAGCCAGAGUUUGAAGGAGGUAAAAUGCUUGGCAAGGGAAAGCUGCUACAGCCCUAAAGGUCAGGAACAAACCUGGUGCUGAAGGUGAACGGAACACAGGAAAGACAAGAACAGUCAAGAAAGGGAUCAGACCAAGAAACCAACCCACACAGCAUGUCUUUGGCAUGCCCUUCACCAUACAAGGCCUAUGAAAAAUAUACACAAUGCCAUUCUUGUCAUCAAAGGGGGGACACUCUGUUGGGGGAAUGUUAGGGAAUCUUUAAUAUUAGAAAAGAACUAAGAGAACUUGAGGUGUUGUCUGAUGAAUGCUAAAUCAAGGAGGCAUAAAACAUAGGAUCAAGGUCAAGUUCAUGAAGAAAGACUUUGGGGAAAGCAGAAAUUCAAUAAACAGAAGAACCUGUCUAAUGCAACCCGUGUUGGAGGAGCAAGGGACGCUAAGUGUGCAAAGGUCCUAGAGGGCCUGGAGUUCCAGGAAAAGGAGUCAAGGAACAGGACAAGGCUGGAGGUGUUGCAACUGCACAGUGAUAUGACGAAAGCAAGAGUUUAGUAAGAUUAAUGAAAAUCUUAUGGCUAGGAUCAGCAGAGAGAUGCCACAUUUUAUUAUUUUUGUUUUUGUUCUUGGUACUCAAGCAAUAACACUCACGUUCAAGAAAUUAAAAUGGAGGGAUCAGAGCAGCUAGGAGAUGACUGGAAAGGUUCCAAAGGACAGAAAAGUUUUAAGACAGAGGACUUUUGUGAACUAGCUUUAAAUGCUUAACUUGACAGCUGAGAAAAAUAAUCCAUGGUGUCUGUGCUAUGGAAAGCCGGUGGCUUGUUUCUGUGAAUGCAGAGAAGAGGGAGAAAAGGAGCCACUGCAGCUCACUUUUCCACACUGUCCUGGAAAGGACAAGGGGUUCCAGACCCUGUCCCAGACCUAGAGCUUGAGGAGACAUGAUCUGGCAGAAGCUCUGACUGUCCUUGGGCAGUCUAUCCCUCCUCUACACUGGUUCUGUCAUGGCACAGGUGCUGGUGGAGAAUAAAUUACAGAAGCUCUGGAACAAAGCGUCACAUUUUUCAAGAGAAAAUAUAUACACCUGCGGAUCUGAUUUUUCGUAACACUAACAUGUUAAGAUAAACAUGCCCUUCAGGAAUACAAAUAAAAUUGGCAAUUUGUACCCAGUUUUUGAGGUUUAUAACCUCUUCUGACUAAAUUUAGAGCCAUGCCUGCUCAUCUGCCUUUUCAACAUUCCUGGGUGGCACAGCUCAUCUAUUAUAAUUGCUACACAAAAGUAACCAGUUCAGUCUGUUUAUUGCAUAUAUGGCUUGAACUAAAUAAGUCAUAGAGAAUGGACAUUAAAACUACCUCAUUAGAAAUGGCUAAGAUGCAUUUUUGCCAUAUUCUAUGAAAAAAUUACACUUUUAAAUAAAAUGCACACUAUAAAGCAUUUGAUUUAUUACGCGGAUUUGCUAUUGUAGUUUAAUAUCAAAUCUGUUAUGAUCUGCAAUCAAGGUAAAGUAGCUUUAGACUAUUUUAUGGUCUUUUAAGAGCACACAGCAUGCAAAGUGUCAUUUACAUUAUCUUAUGACAGAAUUUUUGCCACAAGUCACUGUACUACAGCACUUAGGGAUGCAGUCGCAGACCUACGUUAGCGCUCCCAAUACUAAUAUGUCAGAGGAAAAUAAUACUCCCUGAAAACGGAAACCAGAAUUUUACAUGUAAAAUAGAGAUUAUCUAUCAGUCUGAAACACUGAUUAGUGUCUAACUUUUAAAACAAAGACAGCUUGGUUGUAGAAAGUGGUCUUUUAUUUCUGAACUGAAUUUAUGCACUGACAAUGACAGAGCAUUUUAAAAACUCUCUUCCUCUCCCAUCAAAACCCGGAAUGUAUUUUCUUUGCUUUGACAAUGUCACCUUCAUGUUGACUUCACGUUACUUUUUCGUAAUGAAGACAGUAUUAUACUAGAAAGUAGAGAGAUUUGUAGCCAGAGAGGUCUAUGCUCAAGGGAUCCUUUGGUCAAUGACCAGCUAGGGGACUCUGGUGUAGCAGUUGUCUGGCCUCAGUAAUCCUACCCAUAAAGCAGAAUGGUAACAUCUAACCUCACAGGACCACUGCUAAGGGGCUGGCACAGUGCUUGACACAGAAUACAUACUCAAUAACUAAUAAAUGCUGUCUUCUUCUCCCAACACACUCCAAAAAAUGGCACUUCUAAUUCUUACCACUUGAUAGCACUAAGCUAGACUACCUCCUUACCUUAAUUUCGACAUGAUCCUGGGUUUGCAAAUGUUGAGAAAAUGUAGACCUACCACUUUUUAUCGUGACUUUUCAGUACAGUCAUUUGCAUAAUGUAGCCACUCAAUAUAUACUGGCUGAAUAUGUGAAACAUAAACAUGUAAUAUGAAUUUUUUUCCCCUGAAAGUGUUUGGUGUAGGGAACUGAAGGAGGUUGGCAGUAGUAGGGAGAAGGGAAAUAUUACAUUUUGCCUUGGAAAAUGAACACUGCCUUGUAUUUUAUUCCAAUUUAGCUUAUAAGAACACCAAGGAGGGAAGCGAGGUAAUUUAACAGUUUAACACGAAGUAAAAAUUAGUACCAAGAAGAGAACUGUAAAAUGUUAGCAGGGGGAAAGACCCAAAAAACUAACAGAAUUUUUGUUCCUAGACUGUUUUUCAUGUAUCUCUAAAUUUGUUGCUCUUAUAAAGAGAAAUCAAAACUAGAAAUCUUUUGGACACACACACACACACACACACACACACAGUACCAAAGAACUAUGUCAGAAUCUGCAGAAACUGAAUGCAUUAAACUGCAACACUGAAAAACAUAUUAAUGUUUUCAUUAAUUCAAACUGCUUCAUUCAAAACAAGAAAAGCAUGACAGAGACUAAAAGUAAACAAUGCUCUCUGAAGCAAAACAGAGAGUUAUCUGAAACUAUUAAAAGAGUGUGCAAAUUACCUAGAAAUUUCUUUUGAUUCUGAUACAAGCAAAAGAGGCAAGAGUCAAAUUGGACAUAUCCUAGACCAAACACUAGUGUUGGCUUUGAUCCAAAACACAGCACCAGCGUAUUGAUUUUCAAAUGCAGUAAGUCCAUCCUUUUCUAAAGUAAGAUGUCUUGACUGCCCCAGGACCUUGAAAAGCCAGUCUUGAGAACAGAGUGAAAAGGGAAAUGAUAUCUCUUCUACUCAUUUUUAGCUCUAAGAAAUCUGGGGACACAGUAUAAAUGCAUCACUGGUAUAUACACUUGGACAGUAUAAGCAAGAGAAUGCUAAUGUAAUCUGCCAGCACAGUUGAUGUUCCUAAACUCAGAUAUUUUAUUCAAGGGGCACUUGUGACCAUGGUCACGGCUCUGAGUGGAUCUGAUGGAAAAGGAAUGUUGGUUUCUCCCACGUGGGUUUCCUACUGGUUUGCCUCUGAGCAAACCGUCCUUAGACACUGUAGCUGAAGAUAAGCAGUCAUUCCAGAGCCAGAGCAGUGUGGUUCUGAAAGUUUACAGUCUUAACGUUUAAGAAAAUCAGAGGGGAAUCAUCUGUAUGUAAAAGAAUGGAACUAAGGAGAACCAAAUGCUGUAAAUUACUUCAGAAUCAGUUUCACGAAAUUACCAUAUCCCAAAUGAAAGGGCUAUACCUCACUCUCAAGAUGGCUGGAAUUCACUGCAUUUUCCAGAAGAUGUUCUCAUUCUCCUUUGCGAGUAAGGGGGCUGUGAAUGAAGGCUAGGACUGUUUACAUGACUUUGUAAUAAUUUUCCCAUCUUGGUUGUUUUGAGAAAUCUUGCACAAUAAGAGAGGUACUAAUGGAAAGUGAAAAUGCCAUUCAGAUUCUCUAAAAUAACAAAAAACUAGAUUCAAGAAAUGAAGGCUAAUACUGAUCUGAAGCAAAAUUCCAGAGUGGAUUGGUAAACAGAAGGUUAGAGAGACUUGUGAAAAGAACAAAUACGAGUGAAGUCCUGAAGAGCAAACCAUACACAUUCAAGUUUUGUUCUUUCUGUUUUGGGGGGGGGGGUUGCUAAGGAAGAAAGAGCUGCUUGGGAAUGCCACACAGCGUAUUUUUAUUUGAGGUAAAUAAAAAUCAUUAUUUGCUCAUGGAACUAGAUGAGGACACUUGGGAAGAGAACACGUCUGACCUCCAG